rnacentral:tRNA from 1 species
GCCCUUAUGACGGAACUAGCAAACGUGUUAGUCUUAGAAACCAAAUUUUGUAAGUAUCUCCUCUGGAGUCGAACGUGAGUUCGUCUCUCACCAAGGGUA